rnacentral:rRNA from 1 species
AGUUUGAUCAUGGCUCAGAUUGAACGCUGGCGGCAGGCCUAACAUAUGCAAGUCGAACGGUAACAGGAUAGCUUGCUAUCGCUGACGAGUGGCGGACGGGUGAGUAAUACUUAGGGAUCUGCCUCUGUGUGGGGGAUAACUAUUGGAAACGAUAGCUAAUACCGCAUAAUGUCUCCGGACCAAAGAGGGCUUUUAGCUCUCGCGCAGAGAGGAACCUAAGCGAGAUUAGCUAGUUGGUGAGGUAAAGGCUCACCAAGGCGACGAUCUCUAGCUGUUCUGAGAGGAAGAUCAGCCACACUGGAACUGAGACACGGUCCAGACUCCUACGGGAGGCAGCAGUGGGGAAUAUUGCACAAUGGGGGAAACCCUGAUGCAGCCAUGCCGCGUGUGUGAAGAAGGCCUUCGGGUUGUAAAGCACUUUCAGUUGUGAGGAAAGUUUAGUAGUUAAUACCUGCUAGAUGUGACGUUAGCAACAGAAGAAGCACCGGCUAACUCCGUGCCAGCAGCCGCGGUAAUACGGAGGGUGCGAGCGUUAAUCGGAAUUACUGGGCGUAAAGCGCACGCAGGCGGUCUGUUAAGCUAGAUGUGAAAGCCCCGCGCUCAACGUGGGAGGGUCAUUUAGAACUGGCAGACUAGAGUCUUGGAGAGGGGAGUGGAAUUCCAGGUGUAGCGGUGAAAUGCGUAGAGAUCUGGAGGAACAUCAAUGGCGAAGGCAACUCCCUGGCCAAAGACUGACGCUCAUGUGCGAAAGUGUGGGUAGCGAACAGAUUAGAUACCCUGGUAGUCCACACCGUAAACGCUGUCUACUAGCUGUUUGUG